rnacentral:rRNA from 1 species
GGAAUAUUGCGCAAUGGAGGAAACUCUGACGCAGUGACGCCGCGUAUAGGAAGAAGGUUUUCGGAUUGUAAACUAUUGUCGUGAGGGAAGAAAUUGACAGUACCUCAGGAGGACGCUCCGGCUAACUAUGUGCAAGCAGCCGCGGUAAUACAUAGGGAGCAAGCGUUAUCCGGAUUUAUUGGGUGUAAAGGGAGCGUAGGCGGCCUGGCAAGUCUGGUGUGAAAUACCGGGGCCCAACCCCGGGACUGCAUUGGAAACUGCCAGGCUGGAGUGUCGGAGGGGCAGGCGGAAUUCCUAGUGUAGCGGUGAAAUGCGUAGAUAUUAGGAGGAACACCGGUGGCGAAGGCGGCCUGCUGGACGACAACUGACGCUGAGGCUCGAAAGCGUGGGGAGCAAACA